CCACAGCCUCCCUUCCCUUCCCUUCCUUCGCCUCUCUCUCUCUUUCUCUCGCCCCUCUUUCCUCCCCCCUCUCUCUCCCGCCCGCCUCCACCACCGCCUCCGCCGCGCGGACCUCCUCCGGCCCGCCCCCGCCCCGCCCCCGCAGAUCAGGCCCCGCCCGUCCAGCCCGCCCGCCCGCACGCCGGGCCUCCCUGCACGCCGGGCCUCCGCUGCGGUUCGCAUCUCCCCACCGGCGGCCGGCCCUCGACGGACGGCCUCCUCCCCCUCCCCGCUCCCGUAGCCUCCCCGUGGCGCUCCUUCUCCGGGGACCGACGCCCUGUGACUCCCGGGACCCGCUGACCGCCGCCUCGGCAGGAGAUUGUUGCUCCUGGAUAGGAGGCCAGCGACGCAGCGCACUCGGCACGGCCGCGCGCAUGUGAUUUGCGGCGCCCGCCGGAGCUGGGGAGACGCGCCGCUGGGACGACGACCGCAACGACGCCGUGGAUGCCUCCGCCUCCGCCGGAUCGGAGGGAGUUCCUAUACAGGGACGGCCGCAGGCACGACGCGGCCGCCGGGGAACCCCUCCUGCCGGCGCCCCCCGCCACGCCGCGCUGGAGGGACUCCCCGUACCACCCGCCGCCGCCGCCGCCGCCCCUGCGCGACCACGCCCGGCACUCGCCGCGCAGGACCGCGUCCUCGGCCUCCUCAGAGGGCUAUUACAGGCAGGGCACCGGCGCCGGCGCCUAUGACCGCUCCUACCCCGACGAGCCGAUAGGCUACACGCCCUCCCGCUCCGACCGCUACUGGCUGGAGGAUGACCCUCCCGCCGGCUAUAAGGGCUUCAGCCGCUACGGCGGCGGCGGCGGCCGGAGGGACGGCCGUGACUUGCGGGGAUCCUACCGGAGGUCACCGUUUAGGAGCUACGGAGGUGACUUCCCGAGAGGCCACCAGGAGCCUCCGCCGCCCCCACCGUUGAGGAGGUCUCCUCUGAGGUCAGUCGCUGUGCCGAUCUGUUACGACCCUCCCAGUGAUAGGGCUGACAGGGAGGAUAAAGAACACCAACCCCGGGCAACCCCUUGGCGGCCGCUGCGCCGGAGGGAGAGCAGAUCUGAUGCUGCAGAUGCAGCUGGUGCUGGGCCUCUGUCAGUUCGCCAGAGCGCUGCAGCAGGUUCUGCUUCAGAGAAGAACGCCCCAGCGCAGUCUGAUGCUGCGGCAGAUUCACAGACGGCUGAGGAGGAGGCGCCCAGGAAGAAGCCCCGGCUUGGAUGGGGGCAAGGCUUGGCCAAAUAUGAGAAGCAGAAGGUGCCUGGUUCCGCAGAUUCUUCAGAACCUGUUGCUGAAGGGAGCCAAGACGGCGUUGAACAGAAGGAACCUGAAUCAGCACCUGCGCUUUGUGCAUCUCCAGUGGCCGCACCGGCAGCAGCAUCAUCUGCACCUCCGCUUUGUGCAUCUCCAGUGGCCGCACCAGCAGCACCAUCAUCUGCACCUGCGCUUUGUGCAUCUCCAGUGGCCGCACCGGCAGCACCAUCAUCUGCACCUGCGCUUUGUGCAUCUCCAGUGGCCGCACCGGCAGCACCAUCAUCUGCACCUGCGCUUUGUGCAUCUCCAGUGGCCGCACCGGCAGCACCAUCAUCUGCACCUGCGCUUUGUGCAUCUCCAGUGGACGCACCGGCAGCACCAUCAUCUGCGCCUGCACUCUGUGCAUCUCCAGUGGUGGCACCAGCAGCGCCAUUAUCUACACCAGCACUUUGUGCAUCUCCAGUGCUGGCACCGGCAGCGCCAUCAUCUGCGCCUCCAUCUAGUUCUCCUGUGCCUGAAGAUAAAUCCUGUGAACUGACGGCAAAUACAGUCACAGUGUCCAAUAAAGAUAUCCCUGGGGCGGAGGUCCAGGCUUACAACGAUGAAAUCCCCAUUAAGUUAGGUCAACUUGAUGGUGAUCGCAUUGGCUCCCUUGCCAAUGUCCUUGCUGAACUACUGCAACAUGAAGAUUCUUGUUCUGGGGAUUCGAGAAGACUGACCAAUAGUAGUAAGUUGUUGCUACUGAAAGAAAACAUAGCCAGGGAGCUUGAAAAGACUGAGCUUGAGAUUGAUUCAUUGGAAUGUGAACUUAAAUCAGUGAGUAAUGAAUCCGGAAACAAGGCUCUUGAAGAUGCAGAAAAUCCUUCACCUUCUAGCGGGACAUCAAAAGUUCUAGCCAAGCCUGAGAUCUGUGGAACAUCAUCUUCCCCUAAAGAACAAGGGGUGCUCUCUCCUUGCAAGCUUUCUGUGGAGCAGGAAGCUGAUGCCAAUGGUGUAGACUUGAUGGAUGUUGUUACAGCUCCUGUUCACAGUGUAACAGCAGUCUCAUCGGCAGAGAGUGUAGCAUGUCCUGGAGUUGUUGCUGAAGCUGAAGUUGCUGUAGCUGCAGAUGUGGCCCCAUUGAAGCCUUCUGAAGGAACUGGGUCUCAAAUUGAUGCCCACUGUCCGAGGCAGGAGCCUAGUUCGUCCCAUGAUAAUGUUAGUUCCAUGAAAGCAGAUGGCAGCAAUGACCUAUUAGCCCGGCAGUGCUCGCACCGUAAUUUAAUUCCUUCAAUUAUUGCUGUGAACAAUGAUAUAGCCAAAGAAUUUAAUGAACUGGUUUUCAAACCUUUGCCUGCUGGUCAACCAUGUCUUGGUUUAUCUAGCCAAAUGAAGAAUGACCUGAUUGUCAGAAAGAAGCUUGGCUUACAUAAAAAUAGACUAAGAUUCAAAGAGCAAGCACUUACCUUCAAGUUCAAGGUGCUGCGACACCUGUGGAAAGAGGAUGUGCGGCUCCUCUCUGUAAGAAAGCAGCGCCCGAAGUCUAAUAAACGCACUGAUCAGAGCAACCGUGCAUCACAGAGUGGAUCUCAGAGGCAACGCUCGUCUAAUCGCUCUCGAUUGGGCAUGCCUGCUGGUAAUCUGAGUACGUUUUCCUACCACGGAAAUAUCAGAUGUUGCAAACAAGAUGUUUACAGAAUUUCAGUUUCAAGCGCUGCAGAAAUUACUUGAAAAUGCCAGCAUUAAUUAUAGAUGAAAAAGAGAAAGAAAGUGCUAGCUUUGUCAGCAAGAAUGGUUUGAUUGAGGAUCCUGUUUCAGUUGAGAAGGAACGAUCAGUGAUAAAUCCAUGGACUCAUGAAGAGAAGGAAGUUUUUAUGCAGAUGCUUGCUUCAUUUGGCAAGAAUUUCUCCAAAAUCUCCAAUUUUCUACAGCACAAGACAACAGCUGAUUGUGUUGAGUUCUACUACAAGCACCAUAAAUCUGACAGUUUCCGAGAAGUUAAGAAACUUCUGGAUCUUCGGCAGCAACAACCCACCAGCAAUUACCUAGGAUCAAAUUCUGGAAAGAAGUGGAUCCUGAGAAUGCUGCAUCUCUUGAUAUGCUUGGAAAUGCUGCAUCCGUCGUGGCUGCCCAUGGUCUUGAUUAUGCAAACAGGGUGGAGAAAGAUACUGCAAAGUCUAUUAUUCGGACUUCUUGUAGGUCUGAUGUUUCGGCUGUGGCCAAAGGAUCUUUGGAUAGGGAUGGCAUUGCUAAUGUAUCUCUGCACGAGAGGGAAUCUGUAGCUGCUGAUGUCUUGGCAGGUAUAUGUGGAACUCUCUCCCCUGAAGGAAUGGGCUCAUGCAUUACCAGUUCUGCUGAUCAUGGCCAAAAGAUAGGUGCCACAAGAAUGGACUAUCUUAUGACAACUCCAGAGGCGGACAAGAGCUUUGAUGAGGAAGACACUCUCUCAGAUCAGGAAUGUGAAGUUGACUCAGUUGAUUGGAACGACAAUGAGAAGUCACUGUUCAUCGAGGCUCUGAAUAACCAUGGGAAGGAUUUUGCUCGAAUUUCUUCAUAUGUGAAAAGCAAGUCAUAUGAGCAGUGCAAGGUAUUUUUCAGCAAGGCUCGCAUUUCACUUGGUUUGGAUUUGAUCUAUCAGCGGACUACCGAUGUUGGUUUGCCGACAGGUGAUGCAAAUGGAGGUACGAGUGAUACUGACGAGGCAUGUGCUGCUGAGAUGGAUUCUCCUAUUUGUAGCACAGAGUCUCCUGUGGAGAUGGAGAUGGAAGCUUGUCCUUCUGCUGAUAAAACCCUUCAGGGGCAUCCUCUAUCUGGUAUCACCUUUAAACAGUCAGAAACUGAUAGAUCAGAUGGGCCAGAUAUUGUGGACCUAACAUUUGAGGAAGGUGAGAUCAAGGCAGAGGAUACUAAAAAUUGUAACAUUCCUGUUGAUCAUAGACAGUCAAUUGAAGCCACUCAUCAAUCAACACCUUCAUGUGCUCCUAUCGAUAUCAAUUCUUCUGAGAGCACAGGGAGUAUGGAGAACAGAGAGCACAGCAACCAAGUGAGUGUGCACGGCAACAGAGCCAUGGCAUCUUCAACUGAGCAGCCUGUGGGAGCACAUCUGGAAAUCAGCUCCAGUCUGCACAAUGUUGAAGUUAUUGAGCCGAGCAAGGCGUCUGAAAAGAUUUGCACUCAGGUAUCCAGCAGGGAACAUGCUCCCGAGAGUAGUGCACCUAUCAGCGCUGGAAAUUUAACCACCCCUUGUUUCUUACCUGGAGUCAUCCAGUCGAGCAAGGUGUAUGAAGGGAUUUGCACUAAGGAAUCCAGUACGGAAGGACCUACGCAACAAGCACCCUUGAGUGCACACAUGAAGGCUGGAAAUUUGACCCUCUCUGUUUGCUUACCUGGAGAACACUCUAGUAAGGCAUCCAGUAUUGAAGGACCUUCAAAACAUGCACCUGAGAGUGCACACGUGAAAGCUGGAAAUUCAACUCCCUCUGUUUGCUUACCUGGAGAAAGUGGCAGCAAGGACAAUGUCGCCCAAUUCUCGGACAUGGCCGGUGUUUCCUGUAUUAGGCCUGCAUUUACUUCAAGUUAUCAGCAAACUGUGCCAACAGAUCUGCUCCCAGCAAAGCCAAAACCACAGGUUACCCCUCUUACUCCAAAGGAUUUGAUGCCUGUUCAGUUUAGUUCUGACCUUCCUGAUCCUACCUCAAUUCGUUUUGAGGGCAUAGCCUCCAUAACUUCACCAAAUUUUGGUGAUCAUGCCAACAGAGUCAGCAAUACUCCAGGGCCCAAGGACAUGAACAAGUUCCCAGUAUUUAAUGAACAAUCUCGGAGCCAGCAUGAUGUUCUGUUCCGCAAUAUUGAUGGAUACCUGCAGCACAGACGUCAUCUUGCAGUUGACAUGCCCGCUUUUUCUGAUAGCACUGUAAGUGGUAGUGUGGGAACUUCUCAUCCGGAUCAGUUCACAAUAACCAAAUACCAGAAUGGCAGGUCGGGCAGCUCAGGUCUCUCAAGUACAUCUGCUGGGUUUCUGAUGAAUGGGAGCAGCAAAGAAUUACGGGAAGGUCAGUUGAAGCCCUGUUCCCACAAAGCAAGCACUGAGAGUUCUGAUCAGGUGAAGCGCCCCGGAGAUGUCAAGCUAUUUGGGAAAAUUCUGAGCCAUCAAUCAUCCUUGCAAAGUUCUGGCUCAUCAUCGAAUGUAACCAGAAGCAAGCCUCCCGCGUCAACGGCAGCAGGAUUGUUGGGCAGUGGAAUGGAUCGCAUGGUUUAUUCAUCUAGGCUCACAAACACCGCCCACUUGGGGCAGGACGAGCGAGAGUGGUGAGGAGCUACACUCACCUGGAUGGGAGCACAGUACAGCCCGAGUCGUCUUUGUUCAGGGCGGCGAAAUGUCAGAGAUCAUCACUGUCCAGCGUGCCAUUUUACCUCGGCUAAAAAUGGCACACUGGGCGUAUUUGGAGAGUACCAACAGCCUUUGCGGCAGCAGCUGCCAUCAGAUCCGAAGCGGCUGGAAAGCUAUGCCGAUCUCCAGAAGAGGAUUAUGGCACUCGGGCCCUAG